UACGUAGGGUGCAAGCGUUAAUCGGAAUUACUGGGCGUAAAGCGUGCGCAGGCGGUUGUGCAAGACAGAUGUGAAAUCCCGGGCUUAACCUGGGAACUGCAUUUGUGACUGCACGGCUAGGAGUGUGUCAGAGGGGGUAGAAUUCCACGUGUAGCAGUGAAAUGCGUAGAUAUGAUGGACGGAAUGACCCGAUGGCGAAGGCAGCCCCCUGGGAUAACACUGACGCUCAUGCGACGGAAAGCGUGGGGAGCAAACAGGAUUAGACU
rnacentral:rRNA from 1 species